CUAAAAGGAGGGCGGCAAGGAUCACACCUGCAUGCAGUUCUCCUGCUGCUUGGUGCUGAGGCUCACUAGAGGCCAGCGAAGCCCGCUUGGUGCAUCAAGUUCGGAGACUGCUGGAUUCCUGGGAUGCCAGGGUCUUCCCCCACAGACCCCUGACGACCCAUCUUCCAAGACAGAGUUGGCUCAACACCAUGUCCGUGAUUUUGUGUAGCCCUCUCCACAGUCCCCGUGAAAGGAGUGCUGUUACCAUCUCUGUUCUACUGAGGAGACUGAGCUGAUGAAGGGGACUGAGCCAGGUGCAGGCAGGAGGCCCUCAGCCCAGCACGGUCCAGCCUGGCCAGUGCGGCCGCAAUGGUGGCCCUGGAAAGAGCACGGAGAAGAUGAGAAACAGCGGUGGCAGGUGUCACAGCCUGACCAAAGAAGAGAGUCUGCUGAGAUUGGCCUCAUAACCCAAACCAGCUAACCUGAGGAGAAGGAGAGAGAAGGAAAAAGGGCAAAGCACCUACAAGGAUGAAGCUAAGGACAUGGGAGUCCAGAUGCACCCCUCCAGCCCCAACUCGGCACCACAUUGGGAAGCCCUCAGAAUUUGUUCCUGAAUUUGAACCAUGGUAGGACUCUGUCCCACAAUAAAAUCCAGAAUACCCUAA